rnacentral:rRNA from 1 species
CCUACGGGUGACUGCAGUGGGGAAUAUUGCACAAUGGGGGAAACCCUGAUGCAGCAACGCCGCGUGAGUGAAGAAGUAUUUCGGUAUGUAAAGCUCUAUCAGCAGGGAAGAAAAUGACGGUACCUGAGUACGAAGCCCCGGCUAACUACGUGCCAGCAGCCGUGGUAAUACGUAGGGGGCAAGCGUUAUCCGGAUUUACUGGGUGUAAAGGGAGCGUAGACGGCGAUACAAGUCUGAAGUGAAAGCCCGGGGCUCAACCCCGGGACUGCUUGGGAAACUGUGUUGCUGGAGUGCUGGAGAGGCAAGCGGAAUUCCUAGUGUAGCGGUGAAAUGCGUAGAGAUUAGGCAGAACACCAGUGGCGAAGGCGGCUUGCUGGACAGUAACUGACGUUGAGGCUCAAAAGCGUGGGGAGCAAACAGGAUUAGAUACCCCGGUAGUC